CGACUCUUGGCCAAGAACAAACUUGUUGGUGGUUGUGUGUCCUGGAUAGAUUUGAGACCAGGAGAACUCAUUCCCGUUCUGGACGAUUUCUGUGGUGUAUUUAAAAUUCUUUCCCUUUUCAAUUUUGUCAUCGGGGAUUCCUGUGAAGACAGAAAACCUGAAUAGAAUGGAAAGGCUCACCGAUAAGUUUCAUGAAGGCUUCAUAGUUCUCUUGGGAUUCAACUUCAUACUUUCCAGUGAAGGCCAUGUUGAGGUGUAAGCUGCGGAGAAGGACCACUGAAGUCUUGGAAGCUGAAGAUCAAAAACCCUUUAAAGCAUUUACAACAAUAUAAAAAUCAUAGAAGACUUAAAAAAAUUGAUGCAUUCAUGUUCGUGUGGCCAUGAAUAAUCUGGACUUUGACCACAAUGGAAAGAAGAUGUAUGAAAAGAAACAUGGCGGAGCACAUGCCAUACUUAGUGUCUGAGAAUCAGAUAAGAUAAGGAGAAAAGAUAACAGUGAUUUUCUUUAUCUCUCCGUCGCGGAUUGUUCCAGAAAAGUGGAAUGAACUCUCUGCUGUCAUUUACUUUAGGGUUUUGUCUGCAGAAAAGUUCAGAUGUAUUCCACAAGGUCUAUGACCUGCAAAGAAACCUGCAGUGCUAGGAGGGAUUCACUGAGUUCAGUGCUGGA